GAUAUCGGAAAUAGGUAAAUCC
rnacentral:snRNA from 1 species